GACUCCGUAGCUCAGUUGGUAGAGCAAUUGACUCUUAAUCAAUGGGUCGUGGGUUCGAGCCCCACCGGGGUCACCA
rnacentral:tRNA from 1 species